CUGGAUAUGUGGAUAAUACUAUAUAAGAACUUCAUUUAAUGUGGCAAAUACAUUUUGAAGUAAGCACUUGAACACAGUGAAUACAGUAAUUGGGAAUAAUGGAAUAUAAAGAGAAAACACCAUUGAAAUAAAUUACUACCUUCAAAAGGAAGGAUGGACACAGAUUUGCUAACUCGUUCAUCAUUUUUUGAUACUCUGGACUGUAGUUGUAUGUCAGUGUGACUUUUUUCAGUGAAAAAUCCUGGUGAUCUUGCCAAAUUUGUUAUUAGAUAUAAUUUUGAAUUAUACAACUCUUCAUUAUAGAAACCUUAUGUUCCAUGCAGUACUCUUUUUUCAUAUGACAUUGUUUUAUAACUAAGUAUAUAACAGAGCUCUUUCAAAAUAAAGGCAUUAAAAUAUAAUCAAGUAAGGAACAGUAUCUCUAACACUCCAGGCCUUCACUGGCAUGAACUUUACCAAGUUUGACAUACCUCCUCACACUUAAGUCUUCUGUGUUGUAGAGGAGCCUCUCCCUCAAUUGAGGGAUAGUAUAUUCCAGAGUAGAAGGAGUUGGUUGUGUAAGUAUGUGAGAGAGAUGAAAAUAGAGAAUGGAUGUCACUUCAUCUGAUAUAAGAGUUGGAAUAAAGUACAACCGUGUUGUGAAAGUAUGUUUCCAUAUGCCAUAGACACUUCUCAGAUGAAGUUCCAUAUUUAUUUAUGGGACAGCUUGUAAAGUGAUUUCCUGGAUAUUAUCACAUUUGGCCAUUUAAGGAAUCUAUGAAGCUGGCAAUAUAUAGAAAAUAGAGGGAUUACAACUGUUAGGUAGCAAACAAAAUGACAAGGCUGUUGCCAUUUUCAUUCCCAUAGCUAUCACCACACAAUAGAGCUGCAGGGCAGAUUAAUUAUGCUGUGUGGUUACUAACGGGGAGUUUAAUCAUAAAAACAUUCUUAUUCACAUUUAGUGUUUUGCAGUAAGUGCCCAUGUAGGGAAGAUUCCCCUUGAUAUUGUAAUUAAUAUUAGGUAUAAAGCAGGAAAACUUAUCUUUAGGAGUGCCAAAGUACAUGUGUAGAAACACACAAAACUUGACUACUCAAAAAUACCCAUGCACACUACCCAGAAGACGAGAUGUGUUUGUGUAUUCCUGUGGCAACUUCCCUUCUGUUUACCCCAUGUAAGACAGCUCUUUUCUAGAGAGCAGGUACUUGUACGCUUCAGCUACAUUGUACAGUGCUUCCAAGUGUGGUCAAGUGAGAUUUGAGCAAGGCUUCUUUUGAGUUGUGUUUUGCCAAUUUUGAUUCUCUAUUACUUCCAAAGCUGAGUUGCCAAUCCCUCAAGUAACACCAGUGUAGAAUUAUUAUAAAUGAUUCCAAUAUCUAUCCUGAAAGAAACAUGUUCUUACAAUCAGGAGAAAUGUGUAGUUUCUUCCCAUUGGUGUGAAACCAUUUCUCUACUUUUACAUUCUAAUAUUGAGAUCCCAAAGGGAAGCUCUUUGUGCUAUAAUUUUUUCUGUGCUUUGGGAUGGACAUAUCUAUUAUUUAAUUUGAAGAACAAAACAUUUGGAUGUGGUGAUCAUUGCUGGAUAUCCCAAUAAUCUAUGUGUAGCAAUUGUUAAUGCAUGUACACUUGUGUUACAUGUGAUUGAAAAGAAAUAUAUUUCACUAUGUACAACAGUGCUGAGGAUUUUCUUUGUACACCAUGGCUUCAGCAGAGCAAUUUAUAUAUUUCAAUGGAUUCUUUGUCAGAUCAACACAGCAAGGAAGUAUAAAUAAUGACUCAGAAAAAUGUUUGAGCAUUACAGUUGAACUUUAGAAUACCACUGUAUGUGGAGGGUGGGACUUAUGUCCCAAGAUGGUGACCCACCAUGGGAACUUCCACCCUCAUAGUAAGAUGGGCAACAGACUCUGCCCCAAGGUGGUGGCCCCCAUGACCAACCACAUGCUACAUGCCUGAUUAAUAGAGCAAUGUAUAUUAAAUCAUAUUUUAUUAUGUUAGCUUGUUACUUUCACCUCUGAGCUGGAUUUUAUUAUGUUAGUUUGUUAUUUUCACCUCUGAAUGAGAUUUUACAAUGUUAUUUCCUUAUUUUUACCUCUGAGUGUGAUUUUAUACAUUAAGCUCUAUAAUAGGUAUAGUAGCUCUGAGAUGUCAGAUUACCUGUUAAGGUAGAUGAUCAGAUAUAUAACUGGGCCAAAGCUUAGCCCUAUUUACCUCCUGUCUCCCCAGGUUAUAAGGUGAUUUUAAAAGAUUUAUUUAUUUAUUUGACAGGUAGAGUUACAGACAGUGAGAGAGAGAGACAGACAGAAUGGUCUUCCAUCUGAUGGUUCACCUUCCAAAUGGCCACAACAGCUGGAGCUACGCUGAUCCAAAGCCAGCAGUCAGGUGCCUCCUCCUGGUCUCCCAUGUGGUGCAAGGGCCCAAGCACCUGGGCCACCCUCAAUUGCUUUUUCUGGGCCACAGCAGAGAGCUGGACUGGAAGAGGAGCAACCAGGACUAGAACCCGGUGUCCAUAUGGGAUGCUGGCUCUGCAGGCAGAGGAUUAGCCUAGUGCACCACAGCGCUGGCCCCACAAGGUGAUUUAGCUAUGGAUAGUUCUACAUCUGCUCCUUUGGAGACUCCAUGACAGAUCCACACUUAAUAAUUGGGAGGCCCUUCGACUAGAUGGGAUUAAGAAAUUAUAGCUAAUGCAAUGUAUCCAUGUAAAAUGCUAAGAAUAAUUAAGCCCAUGAAGACCUGUGUCUGUUUUUAUUUUCUCAGGUCCUACAGAGACUGUAAAGCUGUAUAGCUCUGCAUACAUUCCUACAGACUUACUUCUAAGGAUCCCAAGAAGGAAAUUACAAGUCUGAAGUCAACAGCAAACCCAGGAAGGAAAGGACAGCAUUUACCAAGAGCAAAUCCAAGGACUAGAAGCAGAAUUUGCCCAUCACAACUAUGUGACUAGACUGAGGAGAUACAAGAUAGCAGAGAAUCUGGAUCUCACCAAAAGACAGGUGAAAGUGUGGUUCCAGAACAGGUGGAUGAAGAGGAAGAGGGUAAAAUUGGGCCAGCUGGGCACUGCUGCCUGAGAAAAGGAACUGGUGAACGUGAAGAAAGGAACCCUGCUCCCUUCAGAGCUGUCAGGGAUUGGUGCGGCCACGCUCCAGCAAACAGGGGACUCUCUGGACAAUGAAGACAGCCACAACAGCUACCACAGCUCUGAGCAUGCACACUUAUGAUCCACACAGACAGGACCAGAUCCAUCCUCAGGAAAGAAGCACCGUGAUGGCAAGCCUUACCCAACAGAGUUUACACAGAGAGAUGGCCAUGGCCAUGAUUUUUAAUAUUAUCAAAUUCAGGCAUCAUGGGUCUGUUUUGCAUGAUUUAUAGAGGAAGGAAGUGCCACUUAUCAAAGAUGUUUCCAUGAUGAAAAUCAGAAGAAAUGGUGUCAGACAAGGAGCAAAGACAAAUGGGCUCCCCAAGGGGAUAGACAAAACAAUUCUGAAUGUCUUCAAAUUAAAUUCAGUAAAAACACAUUAUUUUUUAAUAUGUGAUGUAUUCUUGCAGAACAACCAUCUUUGUAUUUUGUGAAAAAUGUUUAAUAAAUGAUCCUUUAUAAAUAAUUUUGG